GGAUAACUCCGUGAAAGCGGAGCUAAUACCGCAUAGACACUCUGGAGCAUAAGCUAUUUCAAAGUCAAACGCUUCCGGGUGCUUAACGGAUGAGCUCGCAGCCUAUCUAGCUUGUUGGUAUGGUAACCGCGUCUACCAAGGCCACGAUGGGUAGCCUGCCUGCAUAGGGUGUUCGGGCCCACUGGACACUGACGAUACUGCGCCCAGCACUCCCUCACGGUGAGAGCCAGCAGGUGGGGAAUUUUGCACAAUGGGCGAAAGCCUGACGCAACGACGCCGCGUGGAGGAUCACGGUGCGCGGAUUGUACACUCCUGUCACAAGUGAAGAAAGCCCUUAUGGGUCUGACGGUGACCUCAGAGGAAGCCCCGGGUAACUACGUGCCACCAGGCGCGGUAAUACAUAUGGGGCAAACGUUGCGCGCAAUUACUGGGCGUAAAGGGUGCGCAGGUGGCUGACGAAAGUCGCUGAUGCACUCCCGGGGCUUACCCCUCGGAACUGUCUUCGAUACUUCUCAGCUUGAGGAUAGUCGAGGAGAACGGAAUUCCCCGUGGAGCUGUGAAAUGCGUAGAUCUCGGGAGGAACAUCAGAGGCGAAGGCUGUCCUCUAGGCUGAUCCUGACAGUGAGGCACGAAAGCUAGGGGAGCGAACGGGAU
rnacentral:rRNA from 1 species